GAGUGUGCUGGUUGUAUAAAUGGGGAAGCAAUAUACUUGUAGUACGCAGAUAAGUUAAAAGAGGAUUGUCAUGGAGGAGUUCGAUUAGAUUUUCACAAAGAAGAAUGGCAUCAUCGAAGGCUGAAAAAUCAGUCGGGUCUCAGCUGUUUGGACAGGCCAAGAAAGAGCCUGCUGCCAAGGCCAGCGAUGGUGGAACCAAGAGCUCUUCCAAAGCAGCCCCUAAGAAGGCUGCUCCGAAGCCUCAAGAACCAAAGAAGAAGCGGAAGGGAGGAAAAGCAGCGAAGCAUUAGCAACUCGUAAUUCUGGAAUCAUAAGUGAUGAAGAUAAUCUAUGAAGCGCUAAGUUCUGUCCGCUUUAUGUUUUAGAAGUCUGAUGUGCUGCUGUCAGAUUGCUUGCUCGUAUUCAUGUAAUAUAGCUGUUUUGGAGCUUGGCAUGUAUGGCUUAUUGAAAUAAAGGUUGUCUUCCAUAUUAGCACCAA